GGCUGGAGGCGGCUGCGGCAUGUGCGGGGCGGGACGGGCUCCGCGGCCUCCCUUCUGCCGCCGGGCACUUGGUGGCCGUGUUAGCUGUGGUCGCUUUGAAACUGCACGUGGAGAGUCAGGGGAAGGCUGUCCGAGCAGCAGUAAUGUUGAGAAAGUGAUGCGGUGCAAAACCAGUACUUGGAGUGCUUCCUGUGUAGUCAAGGCUACCAGCAGUCAUACUCAAUGAGGAUUGCGACCAAAUUGCUGUGCUUUCAACUUGUCGAGUCCUCAUUUUCAGAGUUGUGUCCACACAUCUCUCUAGCAAAUAUAUCCUUGGCCAGUCUUUAGGAGAACCAAAAUGAGCAGGAGAAGGAUUCCAACCACUAUUCCCACGGCACCUGAAGUGUAGCAGCUAAAAGAAAGACAAUAGCACGUGCAAGACACUCUUAAUCCAAAUCCCAGUAAUGGAGUUACAUGAUAGUCUGCUGCCUCUUGCCUCUUAAUUUAUAAAGGAUCAAGUGGUAUUAGAGGCAGUCAGCCAUGCAUCAUAAAGUGCUUAUCACGGCGUGUCAGCAUGUAAAAAAAAAAAGCCAAUCCACAGAGAAUGGGGAAUAAAGUCAUCAUCUCUUUAUCUAGCUGUUCAUGGGAAAGCUGGUCAUCAUAUUCUUGUCUGUGAGGGAGGAAUGUUGUUUAUGCUCAAAGAAAUGGUGUGUGACUUUCAUGAAAUGGUUUAGACAUGGAUUCUGGGCAAAAUAGCAAUGCAUGAAAUCAAUGAAACAGUAACCUUCAUUGUCUGAAAAUACACUGGUAACAACCCUCUUUCUUAUUUUCUAUCUGCUCAGCAAAUGGCACUAAUAAUUAAAAUGUUAAAUUCAAUUUUGAGCACAUACAUCUUUUAUACCCUCACAUAUAUGCGUGUAUUUUGGCAUUUCCAGGACUAUUUAUUGUGGCCUAUUACUGCAUAGUAUUAUGUAGAUCUGCAUUCUAUUAUUUGGAUAUGCACUACAGACAGUAUUCUGUAUUUCUAAGAUCUUAUAAAUUGUUUCUUUUUGUCUAUUUUCCAUGAUAAUACCAUAGCUGUAAGUGCUACAAAAACCCUUAAGAAAUUCUGGAGAGCCAAAAAAAAAGAAAUGUAUUCAGUCAAAAAACUUGUAAAAGUUUUAUCCUGAGGCUAUCAAAAGAAGAAGCAAAAUAAAUGAUUUUAAGCACUUGCCUUUGUUCGAAGAAUGGGAAAAGAAGUUUUACAAGUUACUUCUGCUUGUCCAGAAGUUGUUCCCAGAACUGCUCUCCAGAAGUUCUGUGCCUAGUUAAUGAUUCAGAUGCCAAGUUUAUAAACUUGGAAUUUAUCAAAUAAAAUCUUAUCCUACAUUUAGUCCGUCACUUUCAAGCCUAUCUGUUCUGUGUUAGGU